GACGAACGCUGGCGGCGUGCUUAACACAUGCAAGUCGAACGGAAAGGCCCCUUUGGGGGUCCUCGAGUGGCGAACGGGUGAGUAACACGUGAGUAACCUGCCCUUGACUUCGGGAUAACUUCAGGAAACUGGGGCUAAUACCGGAUAGGAAUCCUUGCUGCAUGGUGGGGGUUGGAAAGCUUCGGCGGUUUUGGAUGGACUCGCGGCUUAUCGGCUUGUUGGUGGGGUAGUGGCUUACCAAGGCUUUGACGGGUAGCCGGCCUGAGAGGGCGACCGGCCACAGUGGGACUGAGAGACGGCCCAGACUCCUACGGGAGGCAGCAGUGGGGAAUAUUGCACAAUGGGCGGAAGCCUGAUGCAGCAACGCCGCGUGCGGGAUGACGGACUUAGGGUUGUAAACCGCUUUCAGCAGGGGCGAAGCUUGUGGUGACGGUACCUGCAGAAGAAGCACCGGCUAACUACGUG
rnacentral:rRNA from 1 species